AUUGAACGCUGGCGGCAUGCUUUACACAUGCAAGUCGAACGGUAACAGGCCGCAAGGUGCUGACGAGUGGCGAACGGGUGAGUAAUGCAUCGGAACGUGCCCAGUCGUGGGGGAUAACUACUCGAAAGAGUAGCUAAUACCGCAUACGAUCUAUGGAUGAAAGCGGGGGACCGUAAGGCCUCGCGCGAUUGGAGCGGCCGAUGUCAGAUUAGGUAGUUGGUGGGGUAAAGGCUCACCAAGCCAACGAUCUGUAGCUGGUCUGAGAGGACAACCAGCCACACUGGGACUGAGACACGGCCCAGACUCCUACGGGAGGCAGCAGUGGGGAAUUUUGGACAAUGGGCGCAAGCCUGAUCCAGCAAUGCCGCGUGCAGGAAGAAGGCCUUCGGGUUGUAAACUGCUUUUGUACGGAACGAAACGGCCCUGGUUAAUACCCGGGGCUAAUGACGGUACCGUAAGAAUAAGCACCGGCUAACUACGUG
rnacentral:rRNA from 1 species